GACGAACGCUGGCGGCGUGCCUAAUACAUGCAAGUAGAACGCUGAAGAGAGGAGCUUGCUCUUCUUGGAUGAGUUGCGAACGGGUGAGUAACGCGUAGGUAACCUGCCUGGUAGCGGGGGAUAACUAUUGGAAACGAUAGCUAAUACCGCAUAACAACAGUUGUUGCAUGACAGCUGUUUAAAAGAUGCAAUUGCAUCACUACCAGAUGGACCUGCGUUGUAUUAGCUAGUUGGUGAGGUAACGGCUCACCAAGGCGACGAUACAUAGCCGACCUGAGAGGGUGAUCGGCCACACUGGGACUGAGACACGGCCCAGACUCCUACGGGAGGCAGCAGUAGGGAAUCUUCGGCAAUGGGGGGAACCCUGACCGAGCAACGCCGCGUGAGUGAAGAAGGUUUUCGGAUCGUAAAGCUCUGUUGUAAGAGAAGAAACGGGUGUGAGAGUGGAAAAG
rnacentral:rRNA from 1 species